AUUGAACGCUGGCGGCAGGCUUAACACAUGCAAGUCGAGCGGAGAUGAGGUGCUUGCACCUUAUCUUAGCGGCGGACGGGUGAGUAAUGCUUAGGAAUCUGCCUAUUAGUGGGGGACAACAUUCCGGAAGGAAUGCUAAUACCGCAUACGCCCUACGGGGGAAAGCAGGGGAUCUUCGGACCUUGCGCUAAUAGAUGAGCCUAAGUCGGAUUAGCUAGUUGGUGGGGUAAAGGCCUACCAAGGCGACGAUCUGUAGCGGGUCUGAGAGGAUGAUCCGCCACACUGGGACUGAGACACGGCCCAGACUCCUACGGGAGGCAGCAGUGGGGAAUAUUGGACAAUGGGCGGAAGCCUGAUCCAGCCAUGCCGCGUGUGUGAAGAAGGCCUUUUGGUUGUAAAGCACUUUAAGCGAGGAGGAGGCUACUUAGAUUAAUACUCUAGGAUAGUGGACGUUACUCGCAGAAUAAGCACCGGCUAACUCUGUGCCAGCCGCCGCCGUAAUAC
rnacentral:rRNA from 1 species